AACGAACGUUAGCGGCGCGCCUAACACAUGCAAGUCGAGCGAGAAAGGGCUUCGGCCCCGGUAAAGCGGCGCACGGGUGAGUAACACGUAGGCAAUCUGCCUCGAGGUGGUGGAUAACCCUCCGAAAGGAGGGCUAAUACAGCAUGAGACCACGUCGUCGAAAGACGAUGCGGCCAAAGCCGGCCUCUUCAUGAAAGCUGGCGCCACGAGAUGAGCCUGCGGCCCAUCAGCUAGUUGGUAGGGUAACGGCCUACCAAGGCAAAGACGGGUAGCUGGUCUGAGAGGAUGAUCAGCCACACUGGAACUGAGACACGGUCCAGACUCCUACGGGAGGCAGCAGUGGGGAAUCUUGCGCAAUGGGCGAAAGCCUGACGCAGCGACGCCGCGUGAGCGAUGAAGG
rnacentral:rRNA from 1 species